rnacentral:tRNA from 1 species
GCAUUGGUAGUUCAGUGGUAGAAUUCUUGCCUUCCAUGCAGGAGACCCAGGUUAAAUUCCUGGCCAAUGCA